rnacentral:misc_RNA from 1 species
GAAAUGCGAUAAGUAGUGUGAAUUGCAGAAUUCAGUGAAUCAUCGAAUCUUUGAACGCACAUUGCGCCCCUUGGUAUUCCAUGGGGCAUGCCUGUUCGAGCGUCAUUUGUAUCCUCAAGCUCUGCUUGGUGUUGGGUGUUUGUCCCCGUCUCCGCGCGUGGACUCGCCCCAAAGUGAUUGGCAGCCGGCGUACUGGUCCCGGAGCGCAGCACAUGUCGCGCAAACGAGUGCCUUGGUACGGCGGCGUCCAUAAGCCCCUCUCUCACGCUCUUGACCUCGGAUCAGCUAGGGAUACCCGCUGAACUUAAGC